rnacentral:lncRNA from 1 species
AAGGAUGAAGCGAAAAAUUCUUCUCAAAAGGAUGAAGACAAGAAGGAGAGCAAGCUUGCGGGAGACUUUAGGUUCGACUGCAAUUACUGUCACGGCAAGAAUCACUUUGCCAAAGAUUGCAUGCUAAGGAAAAUGGCUGAGAAAAGAGAUGGUGAAGAUGAUGAGGCGUACUAUAUGCGCAAGUUGGAAGAGAUCAAGAAAAAGAAAGCAACUAACAGUUCUAUGAAUGCCUGAUUGUGCAGNAUGAAUGCCUUGAUUGUGCAGGAGAAUGCAGAUGAAGAUGAGUUCGGUGGCGUUGAAGUUUGGUCAACCAACUCUGAAGAUGAAGAGGUGAGAAAGCCCACUCAUGGAAGGGCUUAUGU